UCUGGCAAGAAGAGGCAGGUAACUGCCCACCUCUGGCUUCCCAGGGGCCUGUUUCUGGAAACUUCAGCUCCUGUGUGCCCACCCACAUCACACAAGGGAUGCUGGGGAAGGGACACUGGUGGCACUGCUGGGCAGGAGGAAGAGCUGGCUUUGUUUUGUCCAGACUGUUUUAAAACAAAAAAUGGUCCAUAAUGCAGUUUUAAAAGAAAAAAGGAGCUGGUUAUAAAAUAGAAGGUAUAAGUGAAGUUUAUAUGUAUAUAGUGAAAAACUGACCGGACAGGCUGACAGGGCUGUGUCCUAAAUCAUAGGCUUGAAGCUGGAGUUUUCUUUUCUCCUUUGUGCCUUUCAAACUUCUUGGCAGUGAACUUGAUUUGCUUUUAUCAUCAGAAUAGCAACAGUAAACACCACCAUCUUUAAACAACAGCACGUGAAGCCUGCGGUCUAGGCUCCAGCUGUGAGCAGAGGGCCGCUGAGGGCGACUUCGGCUCCCCCUGCUCCCCAUGGAUGGUGACCCGCAGGCAGGGCUGAGGCCAGCGGGUUUCGUGUCCCUCAGGCCACGGUGGACGCCUCCUUCCCUCUUGACGAGGGGUCACAUCCAGACCUCUCCCAUCCCCCAGGCCUGACGGCUCCUGAGGUCCUGCCAGCCACCUUGCUGGCCCACUGGCGUAACUGUGGCUUUGUCCCACCCCCAGCAGGAGGCCCACUCCCCGCCUGCCGGGAACUGGGCCAGGCGGACGGACGCGGUGACAAGCAGCUGUGACGUCUCCCCACUUCCUUCCACCUUCCCUGCUGCUGAGUCAGGGUCCCUUUGGGGACAGAUGGCGGGAUGUGGCAGGACGCUGGGCAGCCCCCAAGGACUAGGCAGGCUUCAAAGAGAGGAAGGAAGCUUCGAGGAAAAUCAGUGAAUAAGCAGAGACGGUCUGUGUCCCCAUGUGUCCCCGUGUCCCUGUCCUGGGCUUGGUUCUUUGCAGGGUCUCCUCUGGGACUGCGGCCACAAAGCCUGGUGGGCACCCCAAAUGCUCUCGUCUCAGAAGUACAGUCUCUUGACCCUCAGCAGAUCCCUCUGUUUGAUACGCCCUGACCUGAGCUCCUCACAGCGGCCGUGACAUGACAGAUGACACCGGGAGCUGGCAGACACCGCGAGGUGGCACCUGAAGACCUCUGCUUAAUCUCACUGCCCACAGAUGAGUCAUGAUGGUGGUGAGAGUCCCAGUGGGCACAGGACCCAUGUGCAGAGAUCUGGAGCCUGCGCUCAGCACCAGGCAUCGAGCAGCAGGAAGCCUGGCCCGGAUCCUUAUCGGAGUGACCAUCAGGAGUUGCUGGGAUGGGCUGAUUUUCUAGCCCCUACUCAUAAAGGGUGGACGGAGGCAGCCGGGCUGGAGUAAAAUGAAAACAUGCUGGCGAUGGGUUCUCAGGUGCUGACGGGCACAUACACUUGGGGAUCGCAUGACUCGGUGUCACCUCGACUGCUGGGUUUGCGGGGGAGUUAAAUGCACUUCUGCGCUGGAAUCCCUUGUGCCCUCUGAGGACGCAGUGGCAGCUGUUGUUCCUCCCUGGUCAGGGAGCGGGCACUGGGCACUGGGCACAGGCCGCUUACUUUAAUGAGCUCAGGCUGUGCACAAACACAGGCAAAACUCACCAAGAACAGAGGUAAGUGGGGACAUGUGAAGCCUUGUGUCUGAAACCAGGGAGAUUCCACGAAAUUUUUAUUAGAAUUGCCAAUCCUAGGCAUCAGAGCCCUUAAAUCAAUUAGCUAACAAUUCCUGAAAUGCUUAAAAGAAGGCAAAGGAACUGGAUACUCCAUCUAGGAAUGCCGUGUAACAUGGCAGCCUUUGAAGGAACCUGGCCUGGAGCGGCCUGCAGGCUGGGUCAGGCUCAAGCCCCAGGUUGGGAGGGGCUUUCAUGUCUAUGCUUUUUCCUCUUGGUGACUUGUUGCUGGCAGCUCCUGAUGAAGUCCUGAGGACGGGACCCCCUUCUUCUCAUCCCCAAGGACAGGCCCUGCUGGGGGUGCCCUCGGCCAGGCAGAUACAGCUGCAACCCUGCCUGGUGCUGGUGUGGUGCUGGCCGGGCAUUUAGUGGUGCAUGGUGUUGGGCAUCAGCAAUGUGGUGCCGGGGAGGCCAUGGGGACUCAGACACACUCUACUGUCAGGGAGCUCAGGGUUAAGGCGGCAGUGCCAUGGGGAGGGGCCAGGGCUGGAAUGGGCACCCAGAGGAGGCCUCACUGUACACCCUGUGUCCCUGAGAGGCUAGAGCUGGCAAAGGAGAAGGAAGCAGCCAUCCUGUUAUGGCACCUGUCCAGCCCGGACUCCGAGCUCACAGACACCCUGGAACUCCCAGGGAUGCAGGGUAUGGAGCCGAGGGACUGUGACAAGGGCUGAACCCAUUUCCCUGGGACUGGGUGGCCAGUGAGCCCUUCCCUGACCCCUCAUGCCUCCUGCGGUCAAGGGGGUCUCCUACAUCAGCUUCCUCCCUGGCAGGGAGCCCAGAAGAAGCCCUCUGCACCCUACGCUCUCCUUUCUUGUUCAAUUUGCAUAAUGCUCUGCCCAGACCAGCUUUGUGCCUUCUGCACCCAGUGCUGGAGACUGCACUGCCCUCUGGCCAAAAAGCCUAACCACCCAAACAGAGAAACAAAGCUCUGGUGCAAAGAGAGCCUGGGCAGCCUUCCUGUGGAGCUGGCUCUUGGGGAGUGAGGUGGGUCCGUCCCCAGGAGAGGGGUCCUCCUCAGGACUCUACCUUCCUGGCCUGAUGCCCAGCACCGUGUCUGUUGGGCUGGUGGAGCCCACGGAGAACUUACCCUGCAUGCACAAACACACAUGUGCUCAGGGAUGUAGGACAAGGGCAGUCAUUUCGGCGCUACUUGCUUUAGAAAAGAUUAGAAAUAACCUGCUUGUCCAAUAGCGGGGGAUGGAUGAUUCUGAGCACCUGCUCAGUGGAGUGCUGUGAGCUCUUAAAAAGGAGAGGUUUCUUGGGGUGUGCUCACAGGAUGAGGGCAGGUCCUGCACCCCAAAGUGGGCCCUUUGCCCAUCCCCCAGAGGCAGCUACAAACGCCCAGGUGGGCAGCCUGUGUCCCUCAGAGCCCAGCCCCAGGCUGGCUCAGGACCCUCAUUGCAUUGCUCCAUUCCUGACCUGGCACUGGAGCUGGGGCUCAGGAGUGAGGUGAAGAUGGAAGAUUCCAGAGCCAGUGGGCCUGCCAACCCCAGCUGCAUGGCCUCAAGUGACCCACUCACCCCUGUUUCCAACCCAUCUGUAAAAUGGGGACAACUUGCCUACCUCACAGGUGAGACGAGCAGCUGGUACACAGAGCAGGUGUUCAAUAAAGGUGAAGGCGACUUAAGCUUUGUCCAGUGGGAAGUACAGGGGUGCAGACCAGAGACAGGGCUGGGUGGCAGAGGUGCCCUGCGCUGUCUGCAGGGAGGCGCAGUGGCUCAGCUGUGGCAGCCUGCCACCUGCCGUGUGCUUGUUAGGGGUGCGAGCCAGCUCCCCACCGCCCCCACAGCAGCCAGGGCGCAGUUGAGGGAAAGUUCACGCCAUGGUUUCCUGACAGGGGUGACGGCCCCAGCCUCACCCCCGCCUGCCCUGAGAGUCACUGGCACCACCGGGUGCUGGGGGUUCAGUGUGCUCACAGAGGGUAUGAUCUGGGGGAGCAUGUGUGGGAGCAGGUGGACGGUGGGGAGGGCGUCCCACUCAGCAGGCCCAGGACCCUGCGCUGCCCACAACCCUCCGGGUGCCUGACGACCUCGUGGCCCCCGCAGACCCUCAGCUGGCUCCAGACUGAGCCUCCGGCUUCCCAGGAAAGAGCCGUGAGGAAGACUACCACGUCCCUGUGUUUGAGAUGAGGAAGCAGCCAGGACAAGAGCCUGGCUGAGGCUGCCCAGCUGGGAAGAGGCCAAGGCCCAGUCUCCCCCACUCGUCUUCCUGCCUCCCCCUGCUAGCAGGGCGCCGGACCUCAGGGGUGGGCAGAGCCCCCAGUGGCAGCAGGUGCUCACAGCCAGGGCAGUCGGGGGGGCUUCCAGAGGGGGGCUUGGGACCUGGGGGUGAGGCAGGAGGGCAGGUAGGCCUUCUGGUGGAGGAGAAAGCAUGUGCAAAGGCCAGGCAGUGUGGACAAGGGUGGAUUAGCCAGUGGUUAGAGUGAAGGUGCAAAUGGAGAGAGCCAGGAGUCAGGGCUCCACUCAAGAGGUGGGAAUGGGAGACGAGGCCUGUGGAGUCAGAUGGGGCUGGGGACCCCUCAGCGUGCAGGGAGACAGCCUUGGCUGGGUCUGUCCCAGACAGUGUCAAGGCCUGGCUGGGUCCCCAGCAGCCCGGGCCCAGUCCCAGCUAGAAUGGGCUGGUCUCAAGGGCUCAGGAUCCCAGGGCGGAGGCAGGAACCUCUGGGCAAGAGGCGCUCGAUUGGUUCUUCCAGCUGAGAGAGGCCGACUUCCCCGGCACCAGGCUCCAGAUGCCUGGGUUGGGACCUGCAGGGACUCUGGGUCCUCACACUAUCUUCCUGAAACACCUUAUUUAUGCUAAAGUGUCAAUGACUCAAAUGCAAUGUACUGGUAUGCAGCGCUGGCUGUUGGAAGACUCUGAGGUAUGUGUGAAAGCAACGGCCAUCGUGUUGUUUUUAUAAAGAUGACACUCGCUCCUUCUCAAGCAAAACAGGACAAGCAAUGCAGAAAAGUACAAAGAAGGGAGCAACCCCCCCUCCCCCGCCCACUCCCCUUUACAAUACCUGCUUCCAGAGGGCAGGACUUUCUUCUGCUCUGUUCUCUGCUGUCUUCCCAGCACCUGGAACUUCCUGGCACGGAGCCGACGCUCAGCAGAGACCACCAUCCAACGUUAACAUUCGGUGCAAGUCGUCUGUGCACAGAGAACUUCGGAGAGAUGAAGAGCUAUGGAGAGGAAGAAAACUUGUGAAAAACUUUGAAAUGGACCCAAAAAGAGACCACUGUGCCCUGCCUUUCAUCACGUUGGAGCAAAUCUAAGUUGUAGAAAACUCACAACAGUGCAAAUGAUCCUUGUCCAUAGAAAAAUGCAAAUCAAUUUCAUCCCGUGGAAUGUAAUCAGUUGUUGGCUGUUGACGGUCUUCGUGCGCAUAUGCAAAUUCAUUUCCGUAUUCCUUAUCUGCCUAUAUAUGUGGGUUGUUCUAAUUUUCCUUGAAACAGUUGGAACGGAUUAAUGGUCCCCUAAUUAUUGAAUGAGUUGAAUAAAAUGUUUGAUGUGUUCAUUUUAUACUGCAUGAGUUUCAUGAUUUUACCUUUAAAAAAAGUGACCCUUUAACUGCUAGCUAGAUUUCACUGCUGAAUUUUUUUUUUUUUUCAAAAACAGCUCACAGGUGCUAUUUUCCCUGACCGUGUUGUCUGUAAAUCUGAACAUCACUGGGAGUAAUAUUCUUGGUUUCCCCUUUUCCACACAACUUUGAAGACCUGGCUCUCUUGUCUUCUGUGAAAAAAUCUGGAGCCAAUUGCUUCUCGUCUUCCCUUUGCUGGUGACUUAGUACUUCUGGCUGCCUGAAGAGUUGUUUUCUUUAUCCUUAAAGUUCGGUAACUCAGCCAGAUUCAGCCUGUUCCUGGCGCCCAUCGUUCUGCCGCCGCCCCCUGUGCCUUCUCAGCCGCUCGCUCUUCCUCCGUCCCGGGGAGGGUCUGCAGAUAUUCCUCCGCUUUAGUUGUUGGAUGACCUCCUUCAGGGACCCAUCCCUGGGAUGCUGGGAGGUCUGGUCCCACAGUGACCGCCUUCUCUUCACCUGUGUGAACCAGCUGUCCUUUCCCUCGCAGUCCACCGUGACAUCCACGUUUCUCUGCGAGCUGUCAGCCUGCUCCUGGAGACACGGCGGCUGGGCGUCGGGUGCGCAGCGGUCCUGCCUGGUCCUCCCUGUGCCGCCUCCCCGCCGCAAGCCCUCCGCAUCUCCUCCUGUCACUCCGGGACGGUCUCUUCUGUGUGCCUGUUCAUGUCGUAUUCACACCAGCUCUUCUCAGUCCGGAAGCAGCAAGUUUCCGGGAAGCUGCCCUCGAUCCUGGCUCCUGUCCGCACUCAGCUCGGGCCCUCAUGGCAUUUCCUUCCGGCUCCCGGCCCUCAGCAGGCCACCAGCCCUCGUCAGUUCUUCCCAGCUCGCCCAUACCCAGGGCGGCACCUGCACUCAGACCUUCUACCCACUCGGGCGCAGGAACCAGUCGGCCUCCCCUCAGAAGUUCAGUUUGAGGCCCGAGGCGGCCUGAUGCGUGAGGAGGGGGCCCUGGGGACCAUUGCUGUGGAGACUGUCAGUCGGCCUCAUGUUUGUUGGGUGGUUCUUUCCAUCGACAGCCCGACGUUGUGCAUCAUUCUGUCAGGUACUGGGGGAAGGGGCCUGUGCCCUCCCUCACUCUGCUUUCUAAAAUCUGAACCCCUCUCCUAGGCAGCCUCUCCGAGAUGCAAAUCCCCUGGUCCUGCCCGUCCAGACACCCAGAGAGGCUCCGUUUCUGUGGGCCUGGGUGGGACUUCCCCCUCCCUACCCAGAGCCGCGUGGGUGUCCAGGCCUGGGGGUGAGAGCUGCCGAGCCAUUCGCCAGGGCCCUGCGCAUUCCGGCCAAAUCACAGGGAUGGGUCUCCAAUUAUGUAAAAUCAUGUGGCACUGAGCACUGCAGCUCUGGAAUGUCUGAGUGGGUGGGCAAACCGGAUCAUUAAUGGUAUCGGAGAGGCCUCUGUGGCCGGAGAGGGGAGGGAAGUGACUUGCCUGAGGUCACACAGCCAGUCAACAACAGACAAGUUCGAAGAACUGGAAACACCAGUCCCAGAUCUGGGGCCUGGGCAUUGGGGUAGCCCCCUCAGAGGGCAGGAAGGCCUUUGUCUUUAGCAUGAGGAGCCCCUUGCCCACCUCUGGGCCUUGCGCAAGAAAUGGGUGUGGCCCUGCCCCUGAACUUUGGUCGGGAGCUUCCGUGGGGUUGGGAGGCUAUCCCAGGAGGCACAUACCAAGUCAGCCCUCUCAGGAGAGUGACCCCGCUUCCCCUCGUGGUGUCCCCACCCCAUUCACCCACUGCCCUGGGAGCCAUGCUCUCGGCAUGAGCCCAGGGCUUGGUGACAACCUCAGGCCAGGAGGCAGGCUGAGCAGUCCUGGGGAGGAAGGUAGAGAACCUGGGAUUAGGGCCAGAGAGGGGUGGAUCAGGCCUGAGAGGGUCCCCCAUCUGCCUGAGGGGGGGUGGCCAGAGUUGGGACAUGACCGGCAGAACAGCUUGACCGUCUCAUCGAGAUGCUUGGGGUGUCCUGGGUGUUGUCGCCCAUCCAGCCUGGUGACAUCAGGCGGCCUGGGAAUCCAGGGUCCACGCCUUCCUUCCUCCACGGCCCUCCUGGCUCAGCUGCCACAGGAAAAUUGCAGGACUCUGUGCACAGGGAUGUGGCGAGGGUUCAUGCCUGUAAAAGCACACAGGAAGCAGAGGCUCUCAGGAAUGGAGCUGCUAAGCCCAAAAUAGACCCAUUCCAUGAGGUUACAAGAAACGUCUCACUGGAGUCUCACCAGUCACCAUAAAGCUGCGAUUUAAUUUCUCUCUGGGACAUUCUGAUCCUUUCCUGCUAACCCCGCUCCCCCGCCAUCCUGGAGUCCCUGCUAAAGUUCAAUUCCAGCCCUCUUACCAGAAGAGAGGGGCUGACAGUGGCUCCCUACGUGUCUUGGGCACGUGAGCAUCAUGAUGAUGGCUGUGAUUUGUGCGGCUGGCCGUGCUCUGGGAAGUCCAUGGGGUGGCCCUGGGGCAGGGGCAGACAAGGUCCCAGCAGACACAGGUGCCCAGGGAGGAAGGGCCAACUCAGGAUUCAAACUGGAGCGCCCAGGCCCCAGUGGACUCUGGAGCAGGCCUUGAACACAUCACCCACAUUCGAGGGCUUCUUGGCCCUUAACAGCGGCCCCCCCGAGAAACACAGGCCAGGUGGCCCUAGUGUCACAUGGAAUCCCACUUGCAGAUGCGGAAGCAAGGCCAAGAGAAGUUAAGGCUCAGUGGCCAGCGAGCGGCAGAGCCCGAGCUCAGCCUGGGCCACAGCUCCCAGGCUGCCCCGGCCCGGCCGCUCUGUGUCUGGUUCCCGGCCCCGCCAGCCCCUUUAUCUGCUUGCUCUGUGAUGGGGCAGGUCCACUGCCUGACCCAUGAGGCUUAUCGCCCUGCCGAGGGCAGGCGGCUUAUGAUUACGGCUGAUUAUCAUCACGCGCUUUGGCCGGGGGUUUCACACGUCUUCACUGGCUCUACCGUCUGACUGUGCUGAGUUGAUGCUCACUUUGCAGAAGGCCUGGGCUCUCACAGGAAGAGAUGCAGACGUGAGCGACUCCCAUCUUUGUGGCAGGGUCUUGGUUUCAGGGAGGCCCUGUGUGUUCCAGGGAGCCACUGAGGCCUGUUUCAGCCUCUCUGAGGCAGAGUCUCUUAGCCUUUCGGGGAUGCUGGCCCCUUUGACAAUCGAUGGAAGUCAUAGUCACUCUCCUAGAAACCUGCAAACAUACAAAAAUAGUACAUACAACUUAGGGAUUUAUACACCCUCUGAUGUCUGUCAUAGAUUUUCCAGGGGCUUCUAGAGUCUGCAGUGAGCCCUCUUAUGUUAUGGGGUGCUGUCUGGCAGUCUCCUGAACCCCAGAAUCUGGAUGCUUAUGAUUCCUGGAUAGCUGGGCAUGGCCAUGCCUGAAGGAGGCUUCUUUUCUUUGUGAAAGCGAUUUUAUAAAAAGAUUAGGUUGAGAAUGGAUGAGCCUGCUGAGUGAGAACUAUGCCCAGUUUAUUCGCCAGUCAACUUCUGCACAAAUACACGCCACGAACAGCAAACACAGAGUGGGUCUGUGCCAUAACACUAGCUCGUGUUCAGUGAAUGCCAGGCACUUCAUGCCAGGCUGAUCGUGGGUUAUCUUGUUAAAUCCUGGUGACAGUCAAGCCCAUAGGGUAAUGCUAUGCUCUCUGAGGCACAGCGAAGUUAGGUGUCUUGCUCAGUCACAUGAUAAACUGACCCGAUUGGCCUCUGACCCCCAGCACUCUGACGUGAGAGCCAUUUGAUAGCCUUCCUUGCUAUGAACUGGUGAAACCCACAGCCCCCGGAGGCUGGCCCCAUCCUGUCUGUGGCUCGACUUUUUCCCAGCUCAGCAGCUGGUUCCUAUUGGGUCCAGGCCAAGAGAGCAGGCUCUAAGUAAACACCGGAAUGGCAUUUUUCUGGAGAAUCUCUGUAACACGUGGGUGCCCAGGGCCCCUGGUCCAGGAGUCCCCAGUGGACCGAAUCCUGGCAUGCUGUUCACCUGGCCUGGCAGGGAGACAUCAUUCUGCUCCUGGGCAGAUUUGGGUGGUAAUGUGACCCCCAUCUGACCCUGCAGGCUGGCAAGGCCUGGGAAAUGUCAGCUUACACUCGCUCCGACUAGUCUUAAGGAGCUUUCCUUGGCCUCUAGAACACGGCAAAGUGCCUGCCGGGAAAGACACUUCUGCUUCUGCCCCCAGCUGCCAAGUCUCUAAGAUGCACUUAGGCGCCGGAAGGGGCUUCAGAGCCCUGGCUUCCCCGGGAUGCCAGCCCCCUCCCUGCGAACAGCUCCCGCCGAGGAAGGCCACUCUACUUUCUUAAACCCCCUCUGGACGGUUCCAACCUACCCAACAGGCAGAUGCAGCAGCUCAGCCACCAAGCGGAACCAAGGAUGAAAGAGACAAUGCCUUCCCAAGGCCCAAAGCUAAAAUUCCGCAGCUGAGGUUUGCAUUCACCUGCGAGCUGGCCCCUGGUGCCCCUUCUUCUGCCUGAGGUCAGUGCUUCUCAAAAGUGGGCCAGUGGCUGACAACAGCAGCCCCAGGGAGCAGGUCAGACGUGACCCUCAGGCCCCACCCCAGAUCUGCUGACCAGAAACUGCUCUUCAACCAGCCCUGCAGGAGUGCGGAAGUCCAGCUCCACUGCCCUGGGCCUCUGCCGCUCAGCGGGGACUCGAAGCUCUGCUCAGGCAGGAGAGGCUCAAGCUUGAAUUCCAUCCCCGCAUGUAUCUUGUGCCUCCCCAAAGGCUUCUCCACACCUGAGUGGGCUCCAGAUGCACAGGACCAAACUGGGAGGUGGAAACGGGUGCCAAGACUAUACAAAUCUUAGCACACGGUUAAUGGCGCAUCUCCACAUCAAUAAGUGGGGAAAUUGGCAAGCUUUUGGAGAAUAAAUAAGACAGCAAUAACCAAGAACAUCAAUACAUACACAAGAAGGACAUCGAAGUGAAUGCUGAGGCCAGCUGGAAAUCAACCUUCACUUGCUUUGGUGAGAAGCCAGCAGAAGCUGUGAGGGCGAAGCCUCCACUGGCUGCCCUGCCACUGGGCUCCACAGGCUUGGCCUGCCAACUGGGCCGAGAGGUCGGAGGUCCGGCAGGCCCCAAGCCCCUGUCCCCAGACUCCUAUCUCAUCUCCCACGGGCGGGCAGUCUAGGCAGGUGCCUUCACAGCAGCCGUCUUCACCCACCCAGCCAUCCACCUAACGUGUUAUCGGGCACCUGCUGUACAGCUAGAACCCCGGCCUGGGGCAAAGAGCAGACCUGAGCUGAGGGCUGUGCGGGGGUCGGCAGGACUUGCGGGGUGGGGGUCCUUGCAGGCUGUCUGGGCUCCCACCCUUCUCCCUCCAAUGCAGCAACCCUCUGCUUCCCCACAGUCACCUAGACAGGUUGCCUCGCCUGGGGCAGUUCCCUCAUAGUGAGGAGGGUGGCCAGGUGGAGAAGUGUCUCUUUCUGCUCAGGAAUGGGGCCCAGGGCUGGCUCUGUGUCCCUAUUGCCUUUCUCAGGUGAGAAAAAAGAGCAGAGGAGGGUGAAGGGCAGCCCCAGGGGAGACGGCCAGACCCUGGGAGCCGGCCUGGAGUCCCCACAGCCACUCCAGCCUGUCAUGCCCCACACGCCAAACCCCACUGAUGCCUGCUAGCCUGGCCUGAUCUCGGCCCUGGGAGGGGACAGUCACUCAUGGCCCCACAGCCUAUUUCCAGUCCACUGGAUGUUUUAACCCCAAAGCCCUUCUGGAGCAAAGGUGGAUCCCAAGGUGGCUGAAUGGCUGUCCCCUGGCCUUAUUCUGAUGGUAAAAUUGAUACAGAGCCUAUUGUAAAAAGUCAAACAUUCAGAAAAGUAAAAAUCACCUCAAUUCUGCCACUGUUAAUAUUUUGGUGAGCAAACUCUUUCUCCUUCUCCACACAGAUAUACACGCACACGAAGUGAGAAAUAAAAUCUUUCCUCACCAUGUUGUUUUUAAAAAAAAAAAAGUGCUGUUGUUUCCGAGACGCACAGCUGCUGAGCCCCGUGCGCCUCAUGUCACAGCCUUGUGUGGCCCGUGUGGGACCCCGCCAGCAGCGAGCGGCAGGGAGUCCUGAGGCAAGGGGUCUGCUGUGCUCCUUUAGACAUGGUGUGGGUGACUUUCCAGGCCAACAAGCAGAACACUCAUCACAUGCUCUUAAAUAAAAAAUAAAUUAGCCCAAAGUUGGCCUUUUUUGGUGAGCGGGGAGUAUGGCCUCUGAAGAAUUUCUUGCCACUCAGAGGACACAAUGUGAGCUGCAGAGACCACACGCACACACGCACACACACACACACACACACCCCUACAUUGUAGGAGAUCCGAGCCAAGUGGGCUCAAGGGGAGCCCCCAAGUCAACCCUUCAGGCAACAGAGUGUGCCCCAACCCGGGGAGGGUGGGGACUGUGGUAUCACGAUGCACACACGCCGUCCCCUCGGGAUGCCUUCAGAGCGUGUCGACAGCCCCAUCCCUGCCCUUUUCCCCUCCUUGGCCAGUGGGACCUGUCCACUCCUGUCACCUGUUACUCUGAAGGCUGGACAAGCCAGAGCCCUCCUGCCCAUCUGCUGGCAUCCAGCCUCAUCCUUCCAAUCCUUUUCUGACCCUGUGACCAGACCAAUUUCCUCACAUCAAACAAGGUCAUGUCUGUCUCCUGCUUUAGUGCCUUCCUUGGGGACAGGUCCAUGCCCCUCCGCCAGGACCACCGGGACAGCUCUUCUCAGCUGGCCCUGAGCCCCUCCCAGCCCUGCUCUGCUAAGCCCCCACCCUUUACCUUUCGCCUGGGGUCGCCCCCUCUCCUUCUGAGUUCCUACUUCUCCUUCAAGGCUCGCACUUUACUUUUUGUGGCCCAGCCUGGACUAGGUCUCAGCGGGGCUGCACAGCACCCCAUAUCCAGUCCACUUCUGUGCCCUUCUCCCAAGGUGUUAGAGUGUGUGCUGUUGCCCCUCUUGGCAGUGACCUUGCUGGGGGCACAGCACACCUGUAAAUGCUUGUGGGGUGUCUGACCAAAAGGGCACCCUCAGCCGCCCUGGGAGGCAGGGACCAGGUGUUACAUUUAUUGUGCACAUGAGAAAUUGGGGCUCAGAGAGGCUGUGGAGCUUUAAAAUUCACUCAGCUAGUGCGGAAGGGGCAGGGUUGCUCCGCUGGGUGCUGGGGACCCGGCAGUGACAGAGGGACCACAGUCCCUGGUGUCACUGCACACAUGCAGGCAUCAGGUGGCAGUGGGGCCUGUGAGGGCGACUUCUCCCCGGCACUGACUGUUAAACCACGGCGGCCGCAGUCGUUCAUGCUUCUGUCUUGAGGUUAGCGGGGUUACCGCCUCCCCGGGUCAUGAGGCACAGGCCCCUCGCUGGGGACAUGAGACCCAAGGUUCUGGGUCCAAGCAGGACCCCAGCCACGGUGGUGGACACACUUCCUCCCAGGCUGGGAUCCCAUCUGUCAACAGAGGCUCCUUAGACCCUUCCCAGUGAAGGUCCCUGGGUCAGGAUUCCCAGUUCACACUCCCCGCCUUCCCCGCCAAGGCUCACUACUCUGGGUUCUGCCCCAGGGAGGGAGUCUUCCCUGUGGGAGGUGGACACCUCCAUGCUCAGCUCCCACCCAGAGCUGGGCAAAGGGCCAGGGCCUGACCUCCACGGGGCCUCAAGGCUCCUGGUGGGGAGGACACGGGGCCAGGACAGGCUGACACCUACAGCCUGUGUGUGCCAGGCCGUGUGGGCCCCAUAGGGAGAGGUCUGCCGGGGAGGACUCCCACAUGCCACGCAGACCUAGGCCUGGGGCCAUUCAAGCCCGGGAUGGCCACCAGUGGACACCAACUCCUCCGUGGGAUGGUGGAACUGUGCAGAUGGGCUGUGACAACAGAACCCCAUAUCCUCCACCCAAGCACCCAACUCCAGGCCCACAUCCCUGCUCGGGGUGCCUCCCUUCCUGGGGCUCUGUGGGCUCCAGCUGUCGACUUGGGCUUCCAUCUAGCCUCCUGUGCUGUCCUCUGUCCCAGAGACCAAAACGGGCUCAGCCGCCUGCUCCAACCAUUGUGAGGCUUUGUUCCCCCCCCUUCCUCUCCUGCCAACAGGGAACACGGGCCUGGCUGAGGAAAGCUGUUCGGGAGGAGGAAGAACAGGUGAAUGGGUGCUUUCAGGAAAGCAGGAACUUUCUAAGGGCCGAGUGUGCUUGUCCGAGAGGCUUUGGAGGGACCCUGCACAGCUGCAGAAUUGAGCCCUUGCCUCCCAGGAACUGAGGGCAGAGGUCGCGGGCUGGAACACCUAAUGGGGUCUGGUCAGGGCCCGGGUCCCUGGAGCAUGUCCCACUAGCCCCCUCCUCCACACCCUGAGGCCACACCCUGCCAUGCCAAGGAGGGGCUGCUGGAAGCUCUUUGGGAUUCCACUCUAGCCUCCCCAGAGGGCCCACUGGCCACUCGUCCCGCUGCCAGCAUGGGAGCCCAGGAGAGCUGGGGCAGGGCCUCUGGGGCUCGGAGCAGCUCCAAACGGCAGGAGAAGCAGCGGUUUCUCAAGAACAGCAAGGGGACCUGGACCACAGCCUCCACUUCCUUUUCUGGAGAAACACCACAGCUCAGCUGUGCUGGCUGGUGAUUCUGCAGCUUCUGUCCCUGGGGUUUUGAGCAUGGGGCAGCAGAUGACCCCUGGGGCUUCGGAUGGAAAGAUGGUGUUGGGAGACGUGGGACUGUCCAGGUAAAGAGCACAGACCUGGAUUUGUUAUAAUUUAUUGUCCAAAUUGGCACCUUUGGAGAAGGAAGCUGUCCUUACUUUUACACCAGGGCAGCAGAUGUCGACUGGGACUCUUUAGGGCACACUGAGUCUGUGACCCUACUUACUGCCAGGUCCUAGCUGAGUGGAUCUGGGCAAUUGUAUA